rnacentral:rRNA from 1 species
AGAGUUUGAUCAUGGCUCAGAUUGAACGCUGGCGGCAGGCCUAACACAUGCAAGUCGAGCGGUAGAGAGAAGCUUGCUUCUCUUGAGAGCGGCGGACGGGUGAGUAAUGCCUAGGAAUCUGCCUGGUAGUGGGGGAUAACGUUCGGAAACGGACGCUAAUACCGCAUACGUCCUACGGGAGAAAGCAGGGGACCUUCGGGCCUUGCGCUAUCAGAUGAGCCUAGGUCGGAUUAGCUAGUUGGUGAGGUAAUGGCUCACCAAGGCGACGAUCCGUAACUGGUCUGAGAGGAUGAUCAGUCACACUGGAACUGAGACACGGUCCAGACUCCUACGGGAGGCAGCAGUGGGGAAUCUUGCGCAAUGGGCGAAAGCCUGACGCAGCGACGCCGCGUGAGUGAUGAAGGCCCUAGGGUUGUAAAGCUCUGUGGAGGGGGACGAAUAAGCGGCGGUUAACACCCGCUGUGAUGACGGUACCCCUUUAGCAAGCACCGGCUAACUCUGUGCCAGCAGCCGCGGUAAU